rnacentral:rRNA from 1 species
GAGGGGGUUAGCGUUGUUCGGAAUUACUGGGCGUAAAGCGCGCGUAGGCGGACUGGAAAGUUGGGGGUGAAAUCCCAGGGCUCAACCCUGGAACUGCCUCCAAAACUAUCAGUCUAGAGUUCGAGAGAGGUGAGUGGAAUUCCGAGUGUAGAGGUGAAAUUCGUAGAUAUUCGGAGGAACACCAGUGGCGAAGGCGGCUCACUGGCUCGAUACUGACGCUGAGGUGCGAAAGUGUGGGGAGCAAACAGGAUUAG